UUGAAUAGACUUGGGAACCCAAAAAGAAUGCGCCUUUACUUCGUGUGCUACUCAAAUUUGUAGAAAUUUCACAUUACUCCUAACAAAUUGAUGAGCAAGAUAAACGCCACACGGAGGACUUAAGUUCCAGAAUCUCUCUCAUAAAAUAGGUCAAAGACUCAAAGACACCCAUCGGCGAUUCGGCCAUCACUAUGUGAUUCAGGAAAAGAAGAAGGAACCUGGGCAACAAAAGCUGCGAACGACAUUCCCAAUAAAAGCGCCACAUUUUCAAAAUCUCCAUCAAUACGCCGCGAUUGAGCAAUUAUAACUUUGGGCCGUCGGCGUUUGCAAUUGACGCCUCUCUGCAACAAUCUGGCGGGCGAAGAACAA